CUGUACAGACUACUGCCUUGC
rnacentral:miRNA from 8 species